AGGAAUUGACGGGGGCCCGCACAAGCGGUGGAGUAUGUGGUUUAAUUCGAUGCUACGCGAAGAACCUUACCAGGGUUUGACAUCCUGCGAAUCCCUUGGAAACGAGGGAGUGCCUUCGGGAGCGCAGUGACAGGUGGUGCAUGGCUGUCGUCAGCUCGUGUCGUGAGAUGUUGGGUUAAGUCCCGCAACGAGCGCAACCCACGUCUUUAGUUGCCAGCAUUCAGUUGGGCACUCUAGAGAGACCGCCGGUGAUAAACCGGAGGAAGGUGUGGAUGACGUCAAGUCAUCAUGCCCCUUACAUCCUGGGCUACACACGUACUACAAUGCUACGGACAAAGGGCAGCAAACUCGCGAGAGCCAGCAAAUCCCAUAAACCGUGGCUCAGUUCAGAUCGUAGGCUGCAACUCGCCUACGUGAAGGAGGAAUCGCUAGUAAUCGCAGGUCAGCAUACUGCGGUGAAUACGUUCCCGGGCCUUGUACACACCGCCCGUCACACCAUGGAAGUUGGCCACGCCCGAAGCCGUUACUCCA
rnacentral:rRNA from 1 species